rnacentral:rRNA from 1 species
GAUGAACGCUGGCGGCAGGCUUAACACAUGCAAGUCGAGCGGAGAGAGGUAGCUUGCUACUGAUCUUAGCGGCGGACGGGUGAGUAAUGCUUAGGAAUCUGCCUAUUAGUGGGGGACAACAUUUCGAAAGGAAUGCUAAUACCGCAUACGUCCUACGGGAGAAAGCAGGGGAUCUUCGGACCUUGCGCUAAUAGAUGAGCCUAAGUCGGAUUAGCUAGUUGGUGGGGUAAAGGCCUACCAAGGCGACGAUCUGUAGCGGGUCUGAGAGGAUGAUCCGCCACACUGGGACUGAGACACGGCCCAGACUCCUACGGGAGGCAGCAGUGGGGAAUAUUGGACAAUGGGCGCAAGCCUGAUCCAGCCAUGCCGCGUGUGUGAAGAAGGCCUUAUGGUUGUAAAGCACUUUAAGCGAGGAGGAGGCUACUUUAGUUAAUACCUAGAGAUAGUGGACGUUACUCGCAGAAUAAGCACCGGCUAACUCUGUGCCAGCAGCCGCGGUAA